ACGGAGGAUGCAAGCGUUAUCCGGAUUCAUUGGGUUUAAAGGGUGCGCAGGCGGAAUUAUAAGUCAGUGGUGAAAGCCUACAGCUUAACUGUAGAACUGCCAUUGAUACUGUCAUUCUUGAGUGUUGUUGAGGUAGGCGGAAUGUGUCAUGUAGCGGUGAAAUGCUUAGAUAUGACACAGAACACCGAUCGCGAAGGCAGCUUACCAAGCAACAACUGACGCUCAUGCACGAAAGCGUGGGGAUCAAACAGGAUUAGAUACCCUGGUAGUCCACGCCGUAAACGAUGAUCACUCGAUGUUGGCGAUACACAGUCAGCGUCUUAGGGAAACUAUUAAGUGAUCCACCUGGGGAGUACGGUCGCAAGAUUG
rnacentral:rRNA from 1 species